GCCCGUUCCUCCUACCGAUUGAAUGGUCCGGUGAAGUUUUCGGAUCGCGGCGACGCCGGCGGUUCGCCGCCGUUGUUGUUGUGAGAAGUUCAUUAAACCUUAUCAUUUAGAGGAAGGAGAAGUCGUAACAAGGUUUCCGUAGGUGAACCUGCGGAAGGAUCAUUG
rnacentral:rRNA from 1 species